CUAUCCCUGUUAUUCCCCGUGAAAUAAAUGCUCGAGAUAUUUUAGUUACUACCACUUGCUACAUUAUUCCAGGAGGGUGAGUGCUCUAAAAAAAGUGAAUACGAGGAAAUAAAAAGGGGCAAGUGCCCGGAACCUCGAAGAAAAGGAAAAGUGAGACGAGAGGUAAAAAUGGACAAUUGUCCGACAGUAGAAUUAGGGGUACAAGAUACCCACCUGAGAGGAAAGAAAAAGAAAAUGUAGAGCAUCUCAUUCUCCUCAAAAGUUUCAAAGAGCAAGAAAGGUAUGUAUCCCCUCAGAAGAGGAAAACUAGAAUUAGACUUUCACCAUUGUUUUCACCAUUAUCACCAUCAUCACCAUACACCAU
rnacentral:lncRNA from 1 species